UACGAAGGGGGCGAGCGUUGUUCGGAUUUACUGGGCGUAAAGGGCGCGCAGGCGGUUCUGUUUGUCGAGUGUGAAAGCCCCGGGCUCAACCUGGGAACUGCGCUCGAAACGGCGGAACUAGAGUUCGGGAGAGGAGAGUGGAAUUCCCGGUGUAGUGGUGGAAUGCGUAGAUAUCGGGAGGAACAUCAGUGGCGAAAGCGGCACCCUGGCAUUAGCCUGAAGCUCAUGUGCGAAAGCGUGGGGAGCGAACGGG
rnacentral:rRNA from 1 species